UAAACGAUGUCGACUUGGAGGUUGUGCCCUUGAGGCGUGGCUUCCGGAGCUAACGCGUUAAGUCGACCGCCUGGGGAGUACGGCCGCAAGGUUAAAACUCAAAUGAAUUGACGGGGCCCCCACAAGCGGUGGAGCAUGUGGUUUAAUUCGAUGCAACGCGAAGAACCUUACCUGGUCUUGACAUCCACAGAACUUUCCAGAGAUGGAUUGGUGCCUUCGGGAACUGUGAGACAGGUGCUGCAUGGCUGUCGUCAGCUCGUGUUGUGAAAUGUUGGGUUAAGUCCCGCAACGAGCGCAACCCUUAUCCUUUGUUGCCAGCGGUCCGGCCGGGAACUCAAAGGAGACUGCCAGUGAUAAACUGGAGGAAGGUGGGGAUGACGUCAAGUCAUCAUGGCCCUUACGACCAGGGCUACACACGUGCUACAAUGGCGCAUACAAAGAGAAGCGACCUCGCGAGAGCAAGCGGACCUCAUAAAGUGCGUCGUAGUCCGGAUUGGAGUCUGCAACUCGACUCCAUGAAGUCGGAAUCGCUAGUAAUCGUGGAUCAGAAUGCCACGGUG
rnacentral:rRNA from 1 species